UGGAUCCAGACUUUGAUCCUGGCUCAGGAUGAACGCUAGCUACAGGCUUAACACAUGCAAGUCGAGGGGAAACGAUAGAGAAAGCUUGCUUUUUCUAGGCGUCGACCGGCGCACGGGUGAGUAACGCGUAUCCAACCUGCCCACCACUUGGGGAUAACCUUGCGAAAGUAAGACUAAUACCCAAUGAUGUCUCAAGAAGACAUCUGAAUGAGAUUAAAGAUUUAUCGGUGAUGGAUGGGGAUGCGUCUGAUUAGCUUGUUGGCGGGGUAACGGCCCACCAAGGCGACGAUCAGUAGGGGUUCUGAGAGGAAGGUCCCCCACAUUGGAACCGAGACACGGUCCAAACUCCUACGGGAGGCAGCAGUGAGGAAUAUUGGUCAAUGGGCGAGAGCCUGAACCAGCCAAGUAGCGUGCAGGAAGACGGCCCUAUGGGUUGUAAACUGCUUUUAUAAGGGAAUAAAGUGAGCCUCGUGAGGUUUUUUGCAUGUACCUUAUGAAUAAGGACCGGCUAAUUCCGUGCCAGCAGCCGCGGUAAUACGGAAGGUCCGGGCGUUAUCCGGAUUUAUUGGGUUUAAAGGGAGCGUAGGCCGGAGAUUAAGCGUGUUGUGAAAUGUAGAUGCUCAACAUCUGCACUGCAGCGCGAACUGGUUUCCUUGAGUACGCACAAAGUGGGCGGAAUUCGUGGUGUAGCG
rnacentral:rRNA from 1 species